GACAGAGGUGCCGAGCGUUAGGCGGAAUCACUGGGCUUAAAGCGUGUGUAGGCGGAUCGUUAAGUGCCUUGUGAAAUCCCACGGCUCAACCGUGGAACUGCUUGGCAUACUGGCGAUCUUGAGCCACUUAGGGGCUACCGGAACAAAUGGUGGAGCGGUGAAAUGCGUAGAUAUCAUUUGGAACGCCAAUGGUGAAAACAGGUAGCUGGGAGUGUGCUGACGCUGAGAUACGAAAGCCAGGGGAGCAAACGGG
rnacentral:rRNA from 1 species